CGAACCGUGCGAACGUUGUUCGGAAUCACUGGGCUUAAAGGGCGCGUAGGCGGGUUCGCAAGUCUGUGGUGAAAGCCUCCAGCUUAACUGGAGAAGUGCCGUGGAUACUGCGAAUCUUGAGGAGGGUAGGGGCAUCUGGAACGGUCGGUGGAGCGGUGAAAUGCGUUGAUAUCGACCGGAACUCCGGUGGCGAAGGCGAGGUGCUGGACCCUUUCUGACGCUGAGGCGCGAAAGCCAGGGGGAGCAAACGGGAUUAGAUACCCCGGUAGUCCUGGCCCUAAACGUUGAGGACUAGGUUGUGGACUGAACAUGGGUUCACAGCCGGAGCAAAAGUGCUAAGUCCUCCGCCUGGGGAGUAUGGUCGCAAGGCUG
rnacentral:rRNA from 1 species